AAUCUCCACCAUCUACACCCAACAACGAUAAUAAAAGAAUGAAACGUAAAAUAGGUAAACGAUAUAGUAAUUUGGGCGUUAAUGGAUCGAGUUAUUGGUUCUCCAACACGUAACAAAACCGUACAAGUUUUGCAAGUCAAUAAAAUUAUUUCUUUAAUAUAGAGUUGUUUUAGACAGGGUAACAAUUACUUUGAAAUUUUGGAAGUGUUAGAUGCAAAUUUGAAUAAGCAAUCAACGCCCAGGUAGACAAUGUUUGUUCAAUAGGUGCAAGUCACUACCGUUGUUAUUUUUUUUUU
rnacentral:misc_RNA from 1 species